rnacentral:rRNA from 1 species
GAUGAACGCUAGCGGCAGGCUUAACACAUGCAAGUCGAGGGGUAACGUGAGUGCUUGCACUUGACGACGACCGGCGAACGGGUGCGUAACGCGUAUAGAAUCUGCCUUGUACAGGAGGAUAGCCCAGAGAAAUUUGGAUUAAUACUCCAUAAUGUUAUGUAGUGGCAUCAUUAUAUAAUUAAAGAUUUAUUGGUACAAGAUGACUAUGCGUCCUAUUAGUUAGAUGGUAAGGUAACGGCUUACCAUGGCAUCGAUAGGUAGGGGGUCUGAGAGGAUUAUCCCCCACACUGGUACUGAGACACGGACCAGACUCCUACGGGAGGCAGCAGUGAGGAAUAUUGGACAAUGGGCGAGAGCCUGAUCCAGCCAUGCCGCGUGCAGGAAGACUGCCCUAUGGGUUGUAAACUGCUUUUAUACAGGAAGAAACCUACUUACGUGUAAGUAGCUGACGGUACUGUAAGAAUAAGCACCGGCUAACUCCGUGCCAGCAGCCGCGGUAAUACGGAGGGUGCAAGCGUUAUCCGGAAUCAUUGGGUUUAAAGGGUCCGCAGGCGGUCAAUUAAGUCAGAGGUGAAAUCUCACAGCUUAACUGUGAAACUGCCUUUGAUACUGGUUGACUUGAGUCAUAUGGAAGUAGAUAGAAUAAGUAGUGUAGCGGUGAAAUGCAUAGAUAUUACUUAGAAUACCGAUUGCGAAGGCAGUCUACUACGUAUGUACUGACGCUCAUGGACGAAAGCGUGGGGAGCGAACAGG